AUGUGCCGUUUCCAGGAGCCCGGGGUCGCGGAGGCGCGGCAGUUCGCGCCGGAGCACGCUAGGCGCCUCCUGCGGCAGAUCAUGUGCCACUGCUUCAGCCACGGCGUGGCCUGUGACGAGGAAAUGCACGACGACAAGUACCCGACAUCUACGCUCCCAACUUGGCUCACCGAGGAAGACGUGGACUACUUUGGCGCCGAGUUCGAGAGGACUGGGUUCACUGGCGGCAUCAACUACUACCGCAACCUGGACAGGAACUGCGAGCUGGCUGCGGCGUGGGCGGACGCCAAGGUGCAGGUGCCGACCAAGUAUGUGGUGGGUGAAGGUGAAAUCACGUACCACUUCGAGGGGGUCCAGGAGUACAUCCACGGGGGUGGGUUCAAGGAGGACGUGCCACUGCUAGAGGAGGUGGUCGUCCUCCCGGGCGCCGGCCACUUUAUCCAGCUGGAGAGGGCACAGGAGGUCAGUGAUCAUAUCUACGACUUCAUCAUCAAGUUCUCAUCUCCAACCUAA
rnacentral:rRNA from 1 species